rnacentral:hammerhead_ribozyme from 1 species
AUCCAGCCGAUGAAUCCCAAAUGGGACGAAACGCGCCUCCUGGAU